rnacentral:rRNA from 1 species
GCGGCAGGCUUAACACAUGCAAGUCGAACGUGAAGUCGCCUUCGGGCGAUGGAAAGUGGCAGACGGGUGAGUAACGCGUGGGAAUCUACCUAAUGGUACGGAAUAACACAGGGAAACUUGUGCUAAUACCGUAUGUGCCCGAAAGGGGAAAGAUUUAUCGCCAUUAGAUGAGCCCGCGUCGGAUUAGCUAGUUGGUGGGGUAACGGCCCACCAAGGCGACGAUCCGUAGCUGGUCUGAGAGGAUGAUCAGCCACACUGGGACUGAGACACGGCCCAGACUCCUACGGGAGGCAGCAGUGGGGAAUAUUGGACAAUGGGCGCAAGCCUGAUCCAGCCAUGCCGCGUGAGUGAUGAAGGCCCUAGGGUUGUAAAGCUCUUUCAGUAGGGAAGAUAAUGACGGUACCUACAGAAGAAGCCCCGGCUAACUUCGUGCCAGCAGCCGCGGUAACAC